rnacentral:rRNA from 1 species
AGGCCAGACUCCUACGGGAGGCAGCAGUGGGGGAUAUUGCACAAUGGGGGAAACCCUGAUGCAGCGACGCCGCGUGGGUGAAGAAGCGCCUCGGCGCGUAAAGCCCUGUCAGCAGGGAAGAAAAUGACGGUACCUGAAGAAGAAGCCCCGGCUAACUACGUGCCAGCAGCCGCGGUAAUACGUAGGGGGCAAGCGUUAUCCGGAAUUACUGGGGGUAAAGGGAGCGUAGACGGUGAUGUAAGUCUGGAGUGAAAGGCGGGGGCCCAACCCCCGGACUGCUCUGGAAACUAUGUGGCUGGAGUGCAGGAGAGGUGAGCGGAAUUCCUAGUGUAGCGGUGAAAUGCGUAGAUAUUAGGAGGAACACCAGUGGCGAAGGCGGCUCACUGGACUGUAACUGACGUUGAGGCUCGAAAGCGUGGGGAGCAAACAGGAUUAGAUACCCCAGUA